UGCAGUCGAGCGAUGAUGCCCAGAUUGCUGGCCGGAUUAGUGGCGAACGGGUGAGUAACACAUGAGUAACCUGCCCCUGACUCUGGGAUAAACGUUGGAAACAACGUCUAAUACUGGAUAUGAUCACUGGUCGCAUGGUCUGGAGGUGGAAAGAUUUUUUGGUUGGGGAUGGACUCGCGGCCUAUCAGCUUGUUGGUGAGGUAAUGGCUCACCAAGGCGACGACGGGUAGCCGGCCUGAGAGGGUGACCGGCCACACUGGGACUGAGACACGGCCCAGACUCCUACGGGAGGCAGCAGUGGGGAAUAUUGCACAAUGGCACGAAAGCCUGAUGCAGCAACGCCGCGUGAGGGAUGACGGCCUUCGGGUUGUAAACCUCUUUUAGUAGGGAAGAAGCGAAAGUGACGGUACCUGCAGAAAAAGCACCGGCUAACUACGUGCCAGCAGCCGCGGUAAUACGUAGGGUGCAAGCGUUGUCCGGAAUUAUUGGGCGUAAAGAGCUCGUAGGCGGUUUGUCGCGUCUGCUGUGAAAUCCCGAGGCUCAUCCUCGGGCUUGCAGUGGGUACGGGCAGACUAGAGUGCGGUAGGGGAGAUUGGAAUUCCUGGUGUAGCGGUAGAAUGCGCAGAUAUCAGGAGGAACACCGAUGGCGAAGGCAAAUCUCUGGGCCGUAACUGACGCUGAGGAGCGAAAGCAUGGGGAGCGAACAGGAUUAGAUACCCUGGUAGUCCAUGCCGUAAACGUUGGGCGCUAGAUGUAGGGACCUUUCCACGGUUUCUGUGUCGUAGCUAACGCAUUA
rnacentral:rRNA from 1 species